GCGGCCGCGGCUCCAGAGCCCCUGGGCCUCGCGCUCUGAGAGCCUGAGCCGCUUGAGGAGGCCAAGCGCCCACGAACCGCAUUCCCUGCCUUGCUAGUUAGUUCUCCAACACGCGAAAAAGGUAGACGAGGACUGGUUUUCUUUGCAGCUAAAAUGAAUCAAGCCUCUGAGAUUAGUUGUCACUGUGUUGCCCAGGCUGGUCUUAAACUCCUAGGCUCGAAGGAGCCUUCUACCUCAGCCUCCCAAGUAGCUGAGACUAUAGGCGAGCACCUCCACAACAUGCACUUUUUAUUUCCUUUAUUUUAAUUUUUUUUUAUUUUUUUAUUUUUUUUAGAGAUGGGGUCUUGCUCCGUCACCCAGGCUGGAGUUCACUGCAGCCUCAAACUCCUGGGCUCACUCAACCCUCCCGCCUCAGCCUCCCAAAGUAUUAAGAUCACAGGCAUAAGCUACCACGCCCAGCCUGUACCUUUUAUUUCUUUUUAUUGCCUAAUUAUAGCCCUAUCCGUUUUGGUGUCAUUUUAAAGUCUAAAUAUAUGAUGUGUUUUUUUGUCAAUAUAUCACAAAUUACAUACUUACAAUCCAACUGGGAAGGUUGGGAGUAAAAAAAAAAAAAAAAAAAGUCACCGGGCGCGGUGGCUCAUGCCUGUAAUCUUAGCACUUUGGGAGGCCAAGGUGGGCGGAUCACCUGAGGUCAGAAGUUCAAGACCAGCCUGGUCAACAUGGUGAAACCCGGGAGACGGUGGUUGCCAUGAGCCUAGAUCACGGCACUGCUGAGCGAGACUCCAUCUCAAAAAAAAAAAGAAAACUUCUCAGGACUUUUUCGUGGUAAGGCUGUCAUAAUACUGCCUGAUGUAUUUUAUGUAAUGAAUUGCAGACUGCAGAAAGCGGGGACUUAGCUGAGAAAAUUAAUCGUGCACUCAUUCAGCAAAGGUUUCAGGGCCUGCUGUGUGGAGACACGGUUCCAAGCACUGCCGCAGUAGCAGGGAGGAAACAGAACGGACCUCAAACGCUGUCCCAGCAAGGACUCCAGUCUCUGCCUUGUGGAUGUGUAACUGGCGCGUGAUGUACCAGAAACUCCUGUGUGUGGUUGUAUCCGGUGCGUGACACAGUACUCUCUCCAGCUGCUCCUUGGAUUUGGGAAGCAGCCGAAGAUUUACGGGCCAUGGAGGCUCCUUCUAUCCCUGGAAAUCGGCCCUUGGGAAUUAAGCUGAGUUAUGUGGUUAAAGCCGUCAUGACAGCCAUCCCCUGGCUGGGCCAGUUCUGGGAAUAACUAUAAUGCUUAUACUACAGGAUGGCCAAUUCAGAACUUCUUACUAGUGCUGAAUUCAAUAAAGGUUUAAUAACACAUUU
rnacentral:sRNA from 1 species